rnacentral:rRNA from 1 species
UGUGGUACUAAGCUUACGAGAAGUAGGGCGGGACACGAGGAAUCCUGUCUGAAGAUGGGGGG